AUAUAUAGAACAAUAUGGGACUCAGACCAAGUAUCAUGCACCACACAGGAACACACUGACCCCCAAUGAAAAGCUAAUUUGUAAUAACCUUACAAUGGGAGUAAUUAACCGAGGCAUCGGAAUAGAAGGGACCAAUUAUAACGCAACAAUGGGACAAGGAAGGAUUUUGUAUCAAACGAUUGUGGACCAAACCUUAUGCCCUCUUUUUUUUUCUUCCCGAGCCGAGGCAUUUGUACACCGAUUUGGGACUGAAUAUGAUCAAUCCUCAAUCGAAAACAAAAGAGAUGAAUCCUAUUACAAUUGGUAACUUAGAAUGGGUUUUUUUAGGGACCAAUUAUAAUGGAAAACUAGGACAAGUUAUUUAUAUAAUCGAUCCCAGACCAUAUUGCAUAACCGAGCCAAGGCUUUAUUUCUCAACCGAUCUGGUUUGAACCAAGGCAAUAUGUACUUUGAACAAUAUGGGACUCGGAUCAAGUAUCAUGCACCACACUCUAACUUACAAUCAUAAGCGUAUGAUGGUUUAUGCAUCAGAUUAUAAUAUUACCGAACAUAGGCAUUUUUUAUAGACAGUUGGAACAGAGUAUCAUGCAUCUUUUUCCCAUUCAUUAGAUCUUUGUCUUCUUGAUGAGCAGAGGCAAUUGUUUAAAUUCUUUUGGGCCAAAUACAUCAUGCAUCACCAUCUACACUAUCCCAUUCAUAACUCUUAACGAACUUAUAUUCUGUGUUUUGAAACUGAGUCGCCACUUUUGUAUAAACAAAGCGUUAUGCAACAGUAUCAACUGAGGCUUUAAGAAGCAUUUGUAUUGACAGGGAUAUCAUGCACCACACUCUUUCACAUUCCCAAGCUUAUAAAGUUGGCUUUUCAAUGGUCGUUGACCUUUUUAACCGAGGCAUUUGACUAUAGAAUCUGGGACAUAGACUAUCAUGCACCAUACUUUUUCCAAUUAUGAACUUAUUGACUAUUGAAAUUAGCCUGCAGUGUGGGUUUUAAGCAAGCAAAAUUUUGAACAGU
rnacentral:lncRNA from 1 species